UACGGAGGGUGCGAGCGUUAUCCGGAUUUACUGGGUUUAAAGGGUGUGUAGGCGGAUUAUUAAGUCAGUGGUGAAAUCCCGGGGCUCAACCCCGGAACUGCCAUUGAUACUAUUAGUCUUGAAUACUGUGGAGGUGAGCGGAAUGUGUCAUGUAGCGGUGAAAUGCUUAGAGAUGACACAGAACACCGAUUGCGAAGGCAGCUCACUACGCAGUUAU
rnacentral:rRNA from 1 species